CCAGCUCGAAGGCCACGAAGCUCACUACGCACAGGAUGUCAUGCAUCCGAUAUCGUGAGCGGGCUAAGGUCUGAGUAUUAUAAUGCCCCUCGAUUGGCUCUAGCAGGGCCAGGUCGGAAUGCGACCAAGCAAUGUACCAGAAAAUCAGCCUUUUUCCUCGAUCGCCCAAGAUCCUGUUAUCCAGGGGAGGUGAGGACUACGGCUUUGGAAUGCGUCGCGGGGAUCGGGCAGGGUUCUGGAUCGCUCUCUGUUGCCUUCAUCUCGCAGAUGUGCCCCCGAAAAGGGCGCCCUGAGCGCAUAUCACAGCACACAUCGUUGGGCAAAGUAUCGACCAAUAUCUAUGCAUCAUAUGCAGACAAGGUUGGUUGGUGAGCAGUAGCAAAUUUUGGGGCGGUCAGUCUUGGGCCCGUAGGUCGCGACCGAGGCGCAAUGAUCGAUCCCUGCUUUGUUUUAGCAACCCAUACAUCCUGUAUACAAAGGUGCAUGGGGGUGAUAGCUUUUGCGAGAUUUGUCGCUGCGCGCAAAAGAUACUCCCUGCGAACGAGAAGGCGGUGGGCGUGGUCAUGCAGAGAACUCUUACCCUUUAGUGCACUUCGUGGCCCACAUCUCUAUCUGGGAUGUGGAACUCGAUUCAGACUACUCUCGGAUUGG
rfam:Paxillus involutus ATCC 200175 unplaced genomic scaffold PAXINscaffold_1024, whole genome shotgun sequence.